AGUCAGUGGAUGAUUGCAGGAUA
rnacentral:miRNA from 9 species